rnacentral:rRNA from 1 species
UACAGAGGUCUCAAGCGUUGUUCGGAUUCAUUGGGCGUAAAGGGUGCGUAGGCGGCGCGGUAAGUCGGGUGUGAAAUUUCGAGGCUUAACUUCGAAACUGCAUUCGAUACUGCCGUGCUAGAGGACUGGAGAGGAGACUGGAAUUUACGGUGUAGCAGUGAAAUGCGUAGAGAUCGUAAGGAAGACCAGUGGCGAAGGCGGGUCUCUGGACAGUUCCUGACACUGAGGCACGAAGGCCAGGGGAGCAAACGGG